AGAGAUGUGUGAUGACGCAUAUCAAUAAGCGGAGGAAAAGAAACUAACAAGGAUUCCCCUAGUAACGGCGAGUGAAGCGGGAAGAGCUCAAAUUUGAAAUCUUAAAGGGUUUCCCUUUACGAAUUGUAGUUUAAAGAAGUGUUUUCUGCUGAAGUUUUGGUAAAAGUUCUUUGGAAUAGGACAUCAUAGAGGGUGAGAAUCCCGUAUUUGACCAUUAUUUUCAGCUUUGUGAUACACUUUCAAAGAGUCGGAUUGUUUGGGAAUGCAGUCCAAAAUGGGUGGUAAAUUUCAUCUAAAGCUAAAUAUUGGCGAGAGACCGAUAGCGAACAAGUACCGUGAGGGAAAGAUGAAAAGAACUUUGAAAAGAGAGUUAAACAGUACGUGAAAUUGUCAAAAGGGAAGCGCUUGACACCAGUGUUGUUUUCUCGAAAAUCAAUUAAAAAUGGUGGGAUUCUGUGUUGUAUUGACUUUAUCAGCUUUCUGCACUCUUUUUCCUAUCUUUUUUAAUGCACUUUUCGUUUAACAAGUCAACAUCAAUUUCUUUUGUUGUAAAAGAGUCAUUGGAAGGUGGCUUUCUUUUCGGAGAAAGUGUUUAUAGCCUUUGGCUUCUGCAGUCGGAGAGAUUGAGGUCUGCAGCGUAGAUCCUUCGGGGUUAGAUAGCAUUUGUGCUAAGUUAUAGCCUUUCAUAGACAACUUGUUGACUAUGAUUCAGCCAUGUAGCUUACUCGCUUAUGCUAUUUUACCUACGCUUAGGAUGUUGACGCAUGAGAUAUACGC
rnacentral:rRNA from 1 species